UGGGGAAUAUUGGACAAUGGGCGAAAGCCUGAUCCAGCAAUGCCGCGUGAGUGAUGAAGGCCUUAGGGUUGUAAAGCUCUUUUACCCGGGAUGAUAAUGACAGUACCGGGAGAAUAAGCUCCGGCUAACUCCGUGCCAGCAGCCGCGGUAAUACGGAGGGAGCUAGCGUUAUUCGGAAUUACUGGGCGUAAAGCGCACGUAGGCGGCUUUGUAAGUUAGAGGUGAAAGCCUGGAGCUCAACUCCAGAAUUGCCUUUAAGACUGCAUCGCUUGAAUCCAGGAGAGGUGAGUGGAAUUCCGAGUGUAGAGGUGAAAUUCGUAGAUAUUCGGAAGAACACCAGUGGCGAAGGCGGCUCACUGGACUGGUAUUGACGCUGAGGUGCGAAAGCGUGGGAGCAAACAGGAUUAGAUACCCUGGUAGUCCACGCCGUAAACGAUGAUAACUAGCUGUCGGGGCUCUUAGAGCUUCGGUGGCGCAGCUAACG
rnacentral:rRNA from 1 species